rnacentral:rRNA from 1 species
GACGAACGCUGGCGGCGUGCCUAAUACAUGCAAGUCGAGCGAACAGAUGAGGAGCUUGCUCCUCUGACGUUAGCGGCGGAUGGGUGAGUAACACGUGGGCAACCUGCCCUGCAGAUGGGGAUAACUCCGGGAAACCGGGGCUAAUACCGAAUGAUCAGUUUGUUCGCAUGAACAAACUCUAAAAGACGGUUUCGGCUGUCACUGCAGGAUGGGCCCGCGGCGCAUUAGCUAGUUGGUGAGGUAACGGCUUACCACGGCGACGAUGCGUAGUCGACCUGAGAGGGUGAUCGGCCACACUGGGACUGAGACACGGCCCAGACUCCUACGGGAGGCAGCAGUAGGGAAUCUUCCACAAUGGACGAAAGUCUGAUGGAGCAACGCCGCGUGAGCGAAGAAGGUUUUCGGAUCGUAAAGCUCUGUUGUGAGGGAAGAACAAGUAUAGGAGUAACUGCCUGUACCUUGACGGUACCUCAUUAGAAAGCCACGGCUAACUACGUGCCAGCCGCCGCCGUAACAC